CCCGCUGCCGGCCCGGCCGCCGUGUGCUUUUAACCGGGGGCGCAGGGUGGUCUUGACGGGAGGAGGCGGACAAGCGGGGGGCUCGGGGCCGCCUUUCGGAGGAGGCCCACCAGCCCCGGCCCUUCCGAACCUCUGCCGGAGAGGACGCGGCGAAACACAAUGCCUGUGAUUGCAGAGAGCUCGUUUUUAAAGCCCCACCUGGCUUUCUGCUUGCUCAUCUGUUCUAGCGAGCCUUUGGGGUUUGGUUUUUUUUCUUUUUUUCGGCGAUGCCGUCUUCAUCUCCACUCCCUGCCGGAGCACCCAGAUGUUUCUGCUAAGCUAAGCUAAGCAGCAGGUCAGUGCUGAGCCGCCCCGUUAAUCCUGCGUGGAGAGGGCGCUGCAGUCCUUCCCUGCAGGGCUGGGGGGGCUCCGGCCAGACCCCCCGUGGCAGAAAGCCCCUGCCAGUUCGGGCCCUUGUGCUGGGGCUGCCGCCUCUUCCGUACGUUGUCAGGGAACCGAUCCUGCCUUAAAAAUAUAAGCCUUUCCUUCCUACCUCUAGGUGGGAAUGCAACCCCAACCCCAGCGGCCCUGCAAUCGGAACGUGCCAAGGAGCAGGGCAGGAACGAGCGGAGGGCCGAGGCCCAGCGCUUCGUUUAGGGAUCGCGCAGUCUGAAAUAAGGUGCCUGGGACCUUGCUGGGCCACCACGUAGUAAUAUUGAUGAGCCUCCCGCACCCAUCAAUGAAAACUGCUGAGAAAGUCUCCACCUGCGGUGGGAGCAGAGCAGCCCAUAUUCCCCACGGCAGCGCGGGCAGCCUUGCCCGCCGGUUGGGGCACGGUGCGUCGCUGCCCUCCGUCCCGCACCCUGCAUCCCUGAGACGCUCACGUACCGAGGUGGCCGGGGCUGGCUCCAGACUCGCGCUGAUCAGGCAGGCCGAGAGCGAUAGCAGCACGUGCCCGACCACUGCCGCAGCCCUGGCGUGAGCUCGGGGCGGUUUUCUAGGAGCCCUACGACCCCAUCAGCUCUGCUGCUGGCUGGCUUUGCUCAGGUCUGUGUCCUUCCUUCCGUGGACCAGGGUAGGGAUGAAUGAGUUUGAUCGUUUGAUUUGGGGGUUUUUAGCAUUGUUUUAUAAUGUCCUUUCAGAUGGCAAAAAGAAAGGAAGACACCUACCCAAUCGAUAAUUUUUUUUGACUGUCAGUGAUGCCAUGGCUAGGGAAGUAAGAAGAGAGGAACAAACAGCAAGAAAAAGGAAGACAUAUAUAUUGGGCAAAGGAUAAGUGAGGAAAGAGAAAGACUGCCUUCAUCUUUCUGGAAGCUGGAGGAGAUCAAGCGGGCAGCUCCAGUGUAAUUUCUCAGCCUUUUUCCAGUAAUUCCUCUGUAUUUAAGUGAACCAGAGGCAAAUUCAUCAAAAGUGCAACUUAAUUUUGAAUACAAUUCUGAUUUAGCAAACAUCAGUCUUGGAAACUACUAAAAAGGUCAUAAUAGGCCAUCUUCUUCACUGCAACGUUAUGUACGUAUUGUGGUGCAUUAUCAUUUUCAUGCAAAAUUGCAGGUUAAACCUUGGUUUAAGACCACAGCGUCCCUGCUCCUCUGCGAUGCUGGGAAUGAAAUGGCUGCUGUUUCCACAUGCAGUUCUUGGAAAUGCAUGGCUAACUCCUGCAACCCAGACACACACGCAUACUGCAGUUGCUCGAAACGUAGGCUCAUGAGGAUCUGAGUGGCCCUUGCUGCUUGUCCAGACCCUGCAUCCCUUCCACUGGUGUAGCAGGUCUCAUAGGAUGGCUCGGAGAGGCGUACCUUGAACCUGCACACAGUUCAAUAACUCUUUUUCACUCCUGCUGUGGAAAAAACUGCCUGUGCCCUGGUGAAUCUCUCCUGCAAGCCUACCUGCUCCAUGUGGUGCGGGUGCCAGAAGACGCAGGCGGGAGAUUGUCGCGGGUAAGUCAGUGCUGUCCUUGUAGAAAACAAUUUCCUCCUUUGCCAGUGGAGUGUGUUUUACAUGUCCCGGCAGUGGCUGCUGGGGACGGAGAGGCUGUAGCGAUGUUCUCCAGCAAGAGGAACCGUUCCAGCCCUCCUCCUUUUUCACUGUGGGAACAUCUGAGGUUUGGAGGACACCGGCUCCCCCUCCCCUGCAGUGUAACUGCAGCGGUACAUUAACUUUUUCUCUCUUGCGCACUUCAUACUUACCAGCACUUUGAGCAAUCGGCCCUUGGUGUUCCCUGACACCCGCUGAGAGAGGAAGCCAACGCUGUUUGCAACGUCUCUCCUUGCUGGUGCAAUCACAAGCCCCGUCAUUCAGAUGUGUGGAAAGCCAAAUUGGUAGCAGCUCAUCCCUCUGUGGGUUACAAGACGGCAGCUCUUUCUGGAAGAAGCAGCGCUCUGAUAUAUUAGGAGCAAUUACAAACUACAGCCUCCCCUCUUCUUGUCAUUCCUGUUGUUUGCUAUUAAUGGAGCAUUUUGUUCCGUCAACGUGUAUUGUAUACGUCUACAGCGAGACUGGGGCUGUUUCCUCCCCUGGAGCUGCAAAGAAGUUAGCCCAGUGGGGCUGGUGGUAACCGAUUGCCCGGCCACGGCAGAGCUCAGCAGCUCGUGUUUCUUGCCUUCUCAGGAUCUUUUCUGUGAAUAGCAAGUUUGGCGUGACGCAGAGCACAUUAGGACCAAGGAAGCCAGCACCUGUGAGAAGAGACAGCCCUAACAUCAUAGGGAAGUGCUAUUGCUUGGGAUCUCUGAGUCAAGUGGGCACCCUGCGCACGGGGAGCUCUUUCAUCCCCUCUGCAAAUCCUCCAGCCCAGCCAUGAAAGCCCAAUGGAGAACAUAGUACCAGCUACUUCCAGAUGAUCUUCCAGGACAACAGGCACAGAGAGGACCGCUGCCCCUGGUAAAUGCCACUGAUGUGAGCGCUUGUCUCUGAAGCAUGCCCCUGCUCAGAAGUCAGAGCUUGAAUCUAAUCCACUACUGAAGGACCAGCCAGAGGACUACCCAAAGCACCAGCGUGGUACCUUUGCAGCACUGGCCAGCGCUCUCAUUGCGAGGAGCGAGCGAGCUCCAAGGCGAGCGUCUCCUGCCAGCUGAGGAACGCCAUCCCUUGACAGCUCGGCAUGCCCCAAAGUGCUUUUGGUGCUACCUUCAAACCUGGCGUGCACAGCAGUCCCCGGAGCAGCGCUGUGCACGUGAUGUCCCGAGCCCAAGCCGGGCUUCCAUCGCCUGCCUCCUGUGCUGCUGCGAUGGGGGACGCUGGAGAAAGCACCUCCCAGCCUUUGAGGCGUUUGUAGGAGAGAGCAAGUUAACAAGUCUCUGAGCAGUACAAGCAAAUCUAAUGUGUGACUUGCUGUGCCUUCCUCACUUGCAAGCCAUCAUUUGUACAUAUUUGUCGUGGUACCUAGCGGGAGGCAGGCAAAAUGCACAGAGAUGGGGAAAUUCUCUCAGUCACGAAGAAGAAAUAUUAGCAAAUACCAGUGGUAGCAUAGAUGUGCCCUUGGACAAAACAGAGGCACUAGGAACUGCUUGGGGACCCGGUACAGGUUAUACACUGAACAGCAACUGUGCACAAAGACGCAGAUAGAUACCCUUUCUUAGACUGCCUUACUCAAGCGCGGCGUUUGCAUACAGCUGAUAAAUGCCACCUGGUGACGACGUCUCUCAGGCCAUUUCGAACAAUAUCCUGUCUCCAUACCAGCUGUUUCUGCUGGGAACAUUAUUGUACCGUGCUGCCAGACUUGGAGCCAAAUGAUCCUGGGGAGAAGGGGAGAGGGUGUUAAUGAGAUAAUAAAAGUGUACGCUCACUAUUUUCUACUGCAGUGUAAAUGUGGCUUUUUCUUGACUAUAAAGCCUGUUUAGCCAUUGGAACGUG